CGGUUGCUGAGGUGUCCCAUAAUAGGACGAAACAGUUGUCCAGUGC
rfam:Schistosoma curassoni strain Dakar, Senegal genome assembly, scaffold: SCTD_scaffold0009269